UACGAAGGGGGCUAGCGUUGCUCGGAAUCACUGGGCGUAAAGCGCACGUAGGCGGAUUUUUAAGUCAGGGGUGAAAUCCUGGAGCUCAACUCCAGAACUGCCUUUGAUACUGGGAAUCUCGAGUCCGGGAGAGGUGAGUGGAACUGCGAGUGUAGAGGUGAAAUUCGUAGAUAUUCGGAAGAACACCAGUGGCGAAGGCGACUCACUGGACAUGUAUUGACGCUGAGGUGCGAAAGCGUGGGGGAGCAAACAGG
rnacentral:rRNA from 1 species